rnacentral:rRNA from 1 species
AGCAGCCGCGGUAAUUCCAGCUCCAAUAGCGUAUAUUAAAGUUGUUGCAGUUAAAAGCUCGUAGUUGAAUUUCGGGAUCAAUACGUCGGUCGUGCUUCGGUACGUACUGGCGUAAUUGAUUUCUCCCUUCUGACGAACCAUGAUGUCAUUAACUUGGUGUCAUGGGAAAUCAGGACUGUUACUUUGAAAAAAUUAGAGUGUUUAAGGCAGGCUCACGCUUGAAUACAUUAGCAUGGAAUAAUGAAAUAGGACGUUUGAUCCUAUUUUGUUGGUUUCUAGGAUUGACGUAAUGAUUAAUAGGGAUAGUUGGGGGCAUUAGUAUUCAAUUGUCAGAGGUGAAAUUCUUGGAUUUAUUGAAGACUAACUACUGCGAAAGCAUUUGUCAAGAUGUUUUCAUUAAUCAAGAACGAAAGUUAGGGGAUCGAAGACGAUCAGAUACCGUCGUAGUCUUAACCAUAAACUAUGCCGACUAGGGAUCGGAUGAUGUUAAUUUUUUAAUGACUCAUUCGGCGCCUUACGG